AUCCAACUGACAAGUCCCAAAUAGGACGAAACGCGCGUCCUGGAU
rfam:Schistosoma mattheei strain Denwood, Zambia genome assembly, scaffold: SMTD_scaffold0004648